GACGAACGCUGGCGGCGUGCUUAACACAUGCAAGUCGAACGGAAAGGCCCUGCUUUUGUUGUGUGCUCGAUUGGCGAACGUGUGAGUAACACGUGAGUAACCUGCCCUUGUCUUUGUGAUAACUUCAUGAAACUUGGGCUAAUACCGGAUAGGAUCUCCUGCUGCAUUGUGGGUGUUGGAUAGUUUCGGCGGUUGGGGAUGGACUCGCUGCUUAUCAGCUUGUUUGUGGGGUAGUGGCUUACCAAGGAUUUGACGGGUAGCCGGCCUGUGAGGGUGACCGGCGAAAUGGGGACUGAGAUAAGGCCCAGAAUACAAGGGGAGGCAGCAGGGGGGAAGAGUGAAGAAUGGGAGGAAGCAUGAUGAAGAAAGGCGGCGUGCGGGAUGACGGCCUUCGGGUUGUAAACAGAUUGCGCCUGUGAAGAAGAGUGAGUGACGGUAAUGGGUAAAGAAGCACCGGCUAACUACGUG
rnacentral:rRNA from 1 species